CUUGUAGGCGGUUUGUCGCGUCUGCUGUGAAAAUCCGGGGCUCAACCCCGGACUUGCAGUGGGUACGGGCAGACUAGAGUGUGGUAGGGGAGACUGGAAUUCCUGGUGUAGCGGUGAAAUGCGCAGAUAUCAGGAAGAACACCGAUGGCGAAGGCAGGUCUCUGGGCCAUAACUGACGCUGAGAAGCGAAAGCGUGGGGAGCGAACA
rnacentral:rRNA from 1 species